GCUUAGGGCUAAGGGGGCUAGCGGAUGGAAGUGCUAGUCUAAGGUCGUAGGAGGUUGUACAGGCAAAUCCGUAUAACAAUACUCCGAGAACUGAAAGGCUUUUUGAAGUCUUCGGAUGGAUAGAAGAACCCCUGAUGCCGUCGAGCCAAGAAAAGUUUCUAAGUUUAGCUAAUGUUGCCCGUACCGUAAACCGACACAGGUGGGUGGGAUGAGUAUUCUAAGGCGCGUGGAAGAACUCUCUUUAAGGAACUCUGCAAAAUAGCACCGUAUCUUCGGUAUAAGGUGUGGUUAGCUUUGUAUUAGGAUUUACUCCGAAAGCAAGGAAACUUACAACAAAGAGUCCCUCCCGACUGUUUACCAAAAACACAGCACUCUGCUAACUCGUAAGAGGAUGUAUAGGGUGUGACGCCUGCCCGGUGCUCGAAGGUUAAUUGAUGGGGUUAGCAUUAGCGAAGCUCUUGAUCGAAGCCCGAGUAAACGGCGGCCGUAACUAUAACGGUCCUAAGGUAGCGAAAUUCCUUGUCGGUUAAAUACCGACCUGCAUGAAUGGCGUAACGAGAUGGGAGCUGUCUCAAAGAGGGAUCCAGUGAAAUUGUAGUGGAGGUGAAAAUUCCUCCUACCCGCGGCAAGACGGAAAGACCCCGUGGACCUUUACUACAGCUUGACACUGCUACUUGGAUAAGAAUGUGCAGGAUAGGUGGGAGGCUUUGAGUAUAUGACGCCAGUUGUAUAUGAGCCAUUGUUGAGAUACCACUCUUUCUUAUUUGGGUAGCUAACCAGCUUGAGUUAUCCUCAAGUGGGACAAUGUCUGGUGGGUAGUUUGACUGGGGCGGUCGCCUCCCAAAUAAUAACGGAGGCUUACAAAGGUUGGCUCAGAACGGUUGGAAAUCGUUCGUAGAGUAUAAAGGUAUAAGCCAGCUUAACUGCAAGACAUACAAGUCAAGCAGAGACGAAAGUCGGUCUUAGUGAUCCGGUGGUUCUGUGUGGAAGGGCCAUCGCUCAAAGGAUAAAAGGUACCCCGGGGAUAACAGGCUGAUCUCCCCCAAGAGCUCACAUCGACGGGGAGGUUUGGCACCUCGAUGUCGGCUCAUCGCAUCCUGGGGCUGGAGCAGGUCCCAAGGGUAUGGCUGUUCGCCAUUUAAAGCGGUACGCGAGCUGGGUUCAGAACGUCGUGAGACAGUUCGGUCCCUAUCUGCCGUGGGCGUAAGAAGAUUGAAGAGAUUUGACCCUAGUACGAGAGGACCGGGUUGAACAAACCACUGGUGUAGCUGUUGUUCUGCCAAGAGCAUCGCAGCGUAGCUAAGUUUGGAAAGGAUAAACGCUGAAAGCAUCUAAGCGUGAAGCCAACUCUAAGAUGAAUCUUCUCUAAGCUCUCUAGAAGACUACUAGUUUGAUAGGCUGGGUGUGUAAUGGAUGAAAGUCCUUUAGCUGACCAGUACUAAUAGAGCGUUUGGCUUAUCUUUAAUAAAGCAU
rnacentral:rRNA from 1 species